AUGUGUGUGGUCAAGCUGCAGGUGGGCCUGGGCAGGGGGUGGAAUGGUGACAGGAGGUUUGUGUGUGAGUCUGUAUCAUAGUGUAUUGUGUUCGGCGGAUGGACCCAGCUGACCGUCUCAGGUCAGCCCAAGUCUGCGCCCUCGGUCACUCUGUUCCCGCCCUCCUCUGAGGAGCUCAGCGCCAACAAGGCCACACUGGUGUGUCUCAUCAGUGACUUCUACCUCGGCGGCGUGACCGUGGCCUGGAAGGCAGACGGCACCGUCGUCACCCAGGGCGUGAAGACCACCAAGCCCUGGAAACAGAGCAACAACAAGUACGCGGCCAGCAGCUACCUGAGCCUGACGGCCGACAAGUGGAAAUCUAGCAGCAGAUACAGCUGCCAGGUCACGCACGAUGGGAAAACCGUGGAGAAGACAGUGGAACCCUCAGCGUGUUCUUAGGACGCUGAGCACCCCCACCCUCGGGGCAUUGGAGACACAGGACCCCCGGAGGAUCACCUGUCCCAAACCUCCCUCGACCCUCUUCCCAAACCCAAUUAACUCCCAAUAAAAUGUCCUCAU